CCCAAAGAAGACUCCUAACAGGAAGAUUGCCAACAUUCUGGUUGCCCACUGGAGGAAUAGGGCUAGAGGUCUCAACAUUCUAUUUUCAAUAUAGUUGUUAGCUACAACUUUCCUUUCCUGUCCUCAAUUAUGUCAUUUGUUCCCUAGUCCAGAAUCCACCCCCCACUUUUUUUUUUUUUCACCUUCUACCUUGUUGUGGGAAUAGUUGUUGUAUUAAAUGUGAGAACAAGAUUAGAGAUUCUUACUGUGUCUUAACAGAUUUCCAAUUAAUCCUCUUUAUUUUAUCUCUUUCCUUUCACCCUAACUUCCAGGAUAAUCCGAUGUCACCAAAUUUGAAACUUUGGGAGAAACUUCUGUGAGCAUUAUCUGUAUAGAGCCUGGGACAUUAUAAUUGCUCUUUUAUCCACUCACCUACUGAAGGACAUCUUGGUUGCUUCAAAGUUUUGGCAAUGAUGGAUAUAGCUGCUGUGAAUAGCCAUAUGCAGAUUUUUGUGUAGGCAUAAAUUUUCAAUUUCUUUGGCACUUCAGGAAAUCCAGGCUUAUUCCCGGCGGUUCCUCGGUGUGGCCGCGCAGG